AGGUGGCGAACGGGUGAGUAACACGUGGGUGAUCUGCCCUGCACUUCGGGAUAAGCCUGGGAAACUGGGUCUAAUACCGGAUAGGAGCCAUUUUUAGUGUGAUGGUUGGAAAGUUUUUUCGGUGUAGGAUGAGCUCGCGGCCUAUCAGCUUGUUGGUGGGGGUAAUGGCCUACCAAGGCGGCGACGGGUAGCCGGCCUGAGAGGGUGGACGGCCACAUUGGGACUGAGAUACGGCCCAG
rnacentral:rRNA from 1 species